GGUGGCGAGACUCGCUGGGCCGACGGCCCGCACAGAUUUUGCCCGACAUCACGGUGUGAGCACAUGUGCGUUUCGCCGUGCAUGCUGGCGCAAGCUGCUGAGUUCGGACCAGGAGCACAGGCCAAGACACAGAGCAGGGAGAGCAU
rnacentral:SRP_RNA from 17 species